UGGGGGAUAUUGCACAAUGGGCGAAAGCCUGAUGCAGCGACGCCGCGUGGGGGAUGAAGGCCUUCGGGUUGUAAACUUCUUUUGCUCUGAACAAGGCGCACCAUGGGGUGUGUUGAGUGUAGGGGUUGAUUAGCGCCGGCUAACUACGUGCCAGCAGCCGCGGUAAUACGUAGGGCGCGAGCGUUGUCCGGAAUCAUUGGGCGUAAAGGGCUUGUAGGUGGCUGGUUGCGUCUGUCGUGAAAGCUCAUGGCUUAACUGUGGGUUUGCGGUGGGUACGGGCUGGCUUGAGUGCAGUAGGGGAGGCUGGAAUUCCUGGUGUAGCGGUGGAAUGCGCAGAUAUCAGGAGGAAUACCGGUGGCGAAGGCGGGUCUCUGGGCUGUUACUGACACUGAGGAGCGAAAGCAUGGGGAGCGAACAGG
rnacentral:rRNA from 1 species